AUGUUUAUAAUACAUACUUCUUUCUUUUCUGUCUUUCCUCAGUCCUCAGACUUUCUCUCCAAAAAUCAAAACCAUCUCCUUCCCCCAAAAAUCCAAAACCAUGGGCAUCAUGUACGAUCGUUCCUCUCUCUUCUCAGUCCUUAGAAACCCUCUUUCUCUCCAAAAAUCAAAACCUUCUUCUUCCCCCAAAAAUCCAAAAUCAAAAUCCAAAACUUAGGAUGAGAAAGAAGGAAGAGCCACCUCUCUCCAUCUGACAAACCAAGGAAAGGAACCUAGUACAAUGAUGCAGAAGCCAGAAUUCUUGACGGCUUGCAAGGCUGACCAGCGGUCGCACUUCAAAUCCAAGAUUUUCUUUCUUUAAUUAUAUUGAAUUGGGAAAUUCUAGCUCUUUAUGUUAUAGAUUUAUGUUGCUGUUGACGAAUUGUUUUAUUAAAUUUGCUAUAUAUGAUGAAAAAACUUGCCCCUUUUUUUUCACCAUUGUUCUCUGAAGAUGUUUUAUUGAAUGGUACAGUGAAUUUUCCUCACAACCCAAGUAGAAAAGGAUUAUAUAUAGUAUGGAUUUGGUGUCAUUGAAUAGUUGUUUUAAUUUCCUAAUCAUUAAGAUCAUAAGCAUAGCUCCCCCAAAUAGAAACUAUUUGUCUUUUGAUGUCACAAGAGUUGUGUUCUUUUAUAACUAAUCUUUAUAAUAUUUGACUAUCGCAUCAGUGUUUGGCAUUAAUUUUCCAAGAGUUGAUUUUUUAAACUUUAGCAAAGGGAUUGCUGAAUAGCAGUUUGUGUGUAUAACAGUGACAUUCUAGAUGAUUCUCGAUAGAGACAUAACAUCUUUUUUAACUAUUGAUAAACCCUGUUGUGAUUGAUACAUAAUAAAAAUAAUGUUAUCAAUACAUCUAUAUGUGACAGUGAUGUUGCUCCAAUCACAAAAAUAUUUAAUUGUUGUGAAAUAUCGAAGUUGUAAAGAAUGUGAGUUUAUGUCAUGGGUUACAAUCAAAUACAAAAUAUGUGGCUACUUUCCUGAUUUCUUUGAGGUUGCUGCUAUAAAGGGAAAAGGUACAAGAAAUUGCUUUCUUAAAUUUUGUUAUGGAUCGUUUUGAAGUUUUUUCUUCCCUUUUGUCAAUGUUCAAUUGUAGUGUGCUUAGUUUAGGUGCAUUUUUUGGGUGUAUUCAUGCAAUAAAGCAUUCUUUUUAUUCCCAUUUAGAAAAUGUACACCAUGUAUUUGACAAAAAGUCUCACUCAAAGUUGAAAAUUACCACUCAAAAUUGAAAGUUAACAAAUAACACCGUUUGAAAUCCCAACAAUGAUCGUGGUAACUUUCUCCCAAAUUGUUUUGAGGGCUAUGAAUAGAUCGUAGUCAACUUAACUUUUUUCAAGUGGAAGGAUAUAGCUGUAGUUGAUUCUGCGGGGUUGAGGUGGAAGAUGCUCUUCUUGCUGUUUGUGGCUGUUCCAAAAUUUAGUUGGUCUAGCAGCAUGACGUGAUGUAAUGUGCGUUCAACAACCAGCCUUCUUCUUUCAUUGAACUCAUGGAUUUGGCUUGGGAUAGGGAUCAAAAAACAUGCGAACUCACUACCUUGCUAUCAUGGGUACUAUGGCAAUGAAGAAACAGGUACCAGCAAGCUUUCAAUAAGGAAGAAUCUUAACAAUUCAAGGUGUACAAGCAUUCCACUAAUCCUAAUCCUACUGGAGGUCAAUGGCAAAUUGUACUUAAACUAGCAGGUGCAAAAAGGAGGGGAUUUACUGGUAGUGCUUAUGCUUACGAGGCUAGGAAUAGACAAGGUGAAAUGGUGUUUUGGGGUAUCAGAAGCUAUAUUGCAAGCUCUGCUGCUGGGGUAGUACAUGAAGCUCUGGUGGAAGCCUCUAUCUAGGCGAGGUCCCUUGGUUUUUUGCAAGUUUUGUUACUCAGCAACUGCAAGAAAUUAGUUCUACUCUUUAAUGGGUUUGCAAAGCCAGAUUGGAGGGAAAGAACAAUGAUGGCAGAUCUUAGUCACAUGCAACAAACUGGUUUAGUGUUUAAGCUGAUUUUUGUUCCUAAGGUUGUCCUAGAUAAUGUUUGGAAUUUAGCUAAGUUGGCUACUGAUGUGCUAACUCACUUCUGUUGGCCUAAUAUGGUUCAGUUUGUAACUUAACUGUAUGUUUUUCUUUCUUUACUGGUAUCAAAAAUUAUGCUUAAGAAACAAAAGCACAUAAGGAUGGGUUGUUAUGUUUGUUUUAA